UGCCAAUAUAUGGGUCACUUAUGUAGUUA
rnacentral:piRNA from 1 species